UGGGGAAUUUUGGACAAUGGGGCAACCCGUGAUCCAGCCAUCCCGCGUGUGCGAUGAAGGCCUUCGGGUUGUAAAGCACUUUUGGCAGGGAAGAAACAGCCUGGGAUAAUACCCCGGGCGGACUGACGGUACCUGCAGAAUAAGCACCGGCUAACUAACGUGCCAGCAGCCGCGGUAAUACGUAGGGUGCAAGCGUUAAUCGGAAUUACUGGGCGUAAAGCGUGCGCAGGCAGGUUCGGAAAGAAAGGUGUGAAAUCCCAGGGCUUAACUUGGAACUGCACUUUUAACUACCGAGCUAGAGUACGUCAGAGGGGGGUAGAAUUCCACGUGUAGCAGUGAAAUGCGUAGAGAUGUGGAGGAAUA
rnacentral:rRNA from 1 species